rnacentral:lncRNA from 1 species
UUUUUGUUUUUUUUUUUUUUUUUUUUUUUUUGGUCCCUGGAGUGAAUCAAAGUCUGCAAGCAGACAGCACCGCAGGCUGCCAUGGAACCACCUCCAGGCCAAUGGCAUCUGGACCCAUAGAUGCUUGGGAGGACAAUGGGGGCCAUUCAUCAGGGGUGAGCCCCAGCCUCACCUCCCAAGAGGUGGGUCCAUUUUAGAGCAGGGCUUUGGAAAGGGCUUGUCUUUGGGAAGGGUUUGCAAAUGUCUGGAGACAGGGGGGGCAGGUGGGCAUCUUUUCAAAGCCUGUGAAUCCCAGAGAGGUGCCACCUCUGAGGCGACUGUCUGCCUUUACUCUCCAUGGCAGGGACAGGAGGGAGAUGUCGUGCAAGAAAGGCCUACCAGGAGCUGUCCUUCUGUUUCCCUUCUCUCCUUCCCCAAUAUGAGGUUGGCUUUCCUGCCCCACCUCUUUGCAGACACUCAAAUGUAUUUCCUUUCCUAAGCCUUUUACUCAGUGACCCAGUGACACUGCUCAGGCUCUAAGGAACACUCAAAAUGUCCUUCUAGCACAGAGCUGCUCACACAGAUGGUGGCUGAAACAUACUCUUCAAAUUCUACCCAAUUCUCCCUUCUCUCCCCUCCUUGGGUCUCCCUCUGACUGACCCUGCCCCGGUAGGUCACUCUCACAUUCCUUAGAACUAACUCAGGGUAAUUUGGCCUGUGCUUUUUCUCCAAUUUCAGUAAAAUCUGUAUCUACUGAGUGCUUACUUUAGUCCAAACAUGGUUCUAGAUACUUUAGAAACAUCAUCUCAGGAAAUGCUACCAACAGCCCUAUGAAUGAGUUUGGGUGCUAGUGCCACCCCCACGUUAUAGAAGAAGAAACCGAGGUCCCAGGCGCUCAAGGACUAUGCUCGGGUCCCAAAGCUAGUAACCAACAGAGGCUGGAUUCAACCCAAUCAAGGUCUACACUACCCUUGCUCUUAUCCAGUCAGAGCUGGCACUGAGCCACUUUGCCUCAGAUCUGGUUGGUCUGCCCACAUACACACCUGGACACAGACCACAUCUGGUCCUACGCUUGUUAUGAGACUAUCUCUGGACUCAAGAGUUGGUCUGCCUGAGCUGACAUCCCCAAUCCACCUCUCAAAGGGCAAGUGAAUUCACGAUUCUGGACCUCACUUUCCUGAUCUGUGAAAUGGGGAGAGUAGUAGCGCCUACCCCAGGAUCAUCAUGAGGAGGUAAUGGGACAACACUUGUGAAGUACUUGGCCUGGCUCCUGGCACAGAGUAAGUGCUCAAUAAAUUAAGUUCUUAUUGGAGUUCCUGUCGUGGCUCAGUGGUAACGAAUCUGACUAGUGUCCAUGAAGAUGCGGGUUCGAUCCCUGGCUCUGCUCAAUGGGUUGAGAACCCGGCUUUGCUGUGAGUUGUGAUGUAGUACUCAGACACAGCUCAGAUCUGGUGUUGCUGUGGCUGUGUGUAGGCUGGCAGCUGAAGCUCCGUUUCAACCCCUGGCCUGGGAACCUACUGCCAGUGUGGCCCCAAUAAGAAAAAAAAAAGUUCUUAUCAAUGGUAUUAAUAUUGUGGCCCCCAUCGCUCAGCUGACUUUUUCUUGAGCUCCUGUUGCUCAGGAUCUGAGUGACUUAACCCAACAUUUGAUAUCAACUUCAUCCCAGGUCCAUCUGAUUUAGAGGCCAAGUGAUGAGCCUCUUUUUUUUAAUCAAAGUAUAGUUGAUUUAUAAUAUUGUGUUAGUUUCAGGUAUACAGUAAAGUGAUUCAUUUAUAUAUAUAUAUAUAUAUAUGUACAUAUAUACAUAUACAUAUAUAUAUUUCAGAUUCUUUUCCAGGUUAUUACAAGGCAUUGAAUAUAGUUCCCUGUGCCAUGCCAUAAAUUCUUAUUGGCAAGCAAUGAGCUUCUUAAAUUGGGGAAUGAUUUCUGAUCUGACUUGGGUACCAGGCCAUUUCUUUUCCCAUGAUCCGUCUUCACUCAACAUUUGUCAGAUUCAUGGACCUUUCAGAAAUGAUGUAUCUAUAGGAGCUACUUUUCCCCCCUGGUUUUAGAAGCUGUCCUGAACAUCUCAUGCUUUGUUAGAUGGAAUGGGAAGCAGGACCCAGAGGUUGUACAGAAUUACAAAGUCAGGAUGGAAAGACUCAAUUUGGUCCAGGGUCCUGAAACCAUGCCAAGAGUUUCCAUUGCUGGUGGCAACGCUGGAUCCAGAGAACUUGGGGUUGAGGCUGUAGGGCUUCCGUGUUGCAGAAAGGCCUGUUCCUCAGUUGGCUUCUCCAAUGAACUUUUUUACUGCUGAGCUCAGUCUAAAUAUUCUUUAUUUUCCACCCAUCCUUUGGAGCUCUUCUUCCUGACAUAUCUAAAUCACUGCUUCUAUUUGGAAACACACCUGCCCUCUCUGAGGCUUAUCCAGGCUGUCCUCACUGUAAUUAUUUUGUUUUAUUUUGUUAUUUUAUUUUUGACAGUGGCAUGCAGAAGUUCCUGGACCUGAGAUUGACCCCUGGCCACAGCUGCAACCAGAGCCACAGCAGUGACAAAGCUGGAUCCUUAACCCGCUGAGCCACGAGAGAACUCCUCACUGCAUUUUUGGCUCCGAGAAUCUUUUUUCUCGCUUUUCUCCUUUACUACCACCUCUCCUCUCUUUAAUUUCUCUUAGCUCCUAUUCUCUUUCUAAAGAGUCACUGACUAAAGAGUAAAUUAAGGCAAUUCAUAUUAAUUCUCAUCUUCCUUCUUCAUACCCUACCCCCAAAUUCUAGUGGAAUUUAGCUGUUUUUAAUUUCUUCAGAAGAUGUUUUUAAUACCCAGGCAAGUAAACUUCCACACCCAUAUGGGAACAUAUCUGAAACUGGUGAUGUGGAAGUUUGAGGAAAAAAGAAAAACUUUGGAUGAGAGAAUUUGAAAAGAUUCCUGAACCGUGAUGCAAACUCAGAGGAUCAGUGAUCUAGACCACAUGUGCCGAAUAUAUACCUACCAUGGGCCAAGUAUGUGAAAUGAGGGUGCUGUGCCCAUCUUGCCAGCCCUUCUCACCUGGCUCUGAGAUCUCAGACAAGGCUACCUGGAUGCCCCACAGACACCUCCAACUCAUUAUGUUCAAAAC